rnacentral:lncRNA from 1 species
AGCUCUUUAAAUUUAAGAUAAUGGAAGCAUUAAACAAAGAAAGAUAUUAGGUUGAUCUAGGCAAUAAACACACAAGCUCGGAUUAUUUAACCUAGGUUAUGUUCUCCAAUUGAAAUCAUUAAUUCCAACCUGCUACUAAUGAUUAAAAUAUCAAGACAAUUACGGAUCAAGAAUUUUAAUCUAGCAAUAAUAUUUAUUCAAGUCCUAUCUAAUUGGCCACUCAAAUAAAACAAGAAUAAACCAUGAACAUUAAUUAUAGAAGAACAUAAACAAUCUCAAUUAAAUAAAUUAAAUGAUAGAAUUUAAAUUUAAUUGCAUAGCAUGUUUAGGGUUUUGAAUUCACCCUCAACCAAAUAAAAAUUUAGCCUAACAUAAUUAAAUUGGGAAUAAGAGAAUUGACAAAACCAAUCAUGGAGAUUAAUUCAAGCGGCUGCCUUUUUCUUCAAUUUAAUUCCAGCUGCUGAUUUUUCUCUUGCUACCCGAAUUCUUCUUCUUGCUGAAUUGGAUCAGUUUUGCUCCAAACCUGCAACUGCUGCUCUUCUCUUCUCCCGAUUCUCCUCUUUUGCUCUCUGGCAGCUCUCCUUUUAUAAUGCUCUAAAUCCUCUCACGAAAAGGAUUAAAAACAAAAGUAAAGCCGCCACUUUCCAAAACCAAAGUUUGGCUUUUAUAUUUAGUCUUCAAAUGGGCCCCACCGACUUUUCCAACUCUUAAGCCAAAGGCCAAGCCUUUUAAUUUGCUUUGGCUUCCCUCACGUGCACUCUUUAAUUUGGCUAAUAUUUCUCAUGUCCUUUAGCUAAUAAUUCAGCCAAUCAAUUUAAUUGUUUCUUCUUCUCCUUUCGACUUUAUCACCACGGCAGCGAGCAUUAACAAUCUUCAACUC